GAACGCACAUUGCACUCCUUGGUAUUCCGAGGAGUAUGCCUGUUUCAGUAUCAUGAGCACUCUCACAACUAACCUUUGGGUGAAAUUGUGGAAUUGGAAUGCGCUGAUUGUAAUAACCAGCCCUUCUAAAAUAUAUUUCAUGACUGUCACCUAACACAGCAGUUUGGCCUAAUAGUUUUGACAUUGAUUUGUCAAAUCUUUGGCUUACAUUUGCUUCAGGUUGUCAGUUUUGAUAAUACAGAAAACUCAUUCAAAUUUUGAUCUGAAAUCAGGUAGGGCUACCCGCUGAACUUA
rnacentral:misc_RNA from 1 species